AACAGUUGAUGUACACCUGGUAUUACUUCACCAGCACGGGACAUACAAGUGGGAGUUAACCAUCUGUAACUCAACUUCCUUCCCUCUCACUUAAAGAGAAACACAUGAGAAUCCAGUCUACACCCUUCUGACCAACUGAAACAGAAGAAGAAGAAGAUAUAAGGAGGAAGGUUUUCCUCACUGAUCUGAAAAAGAGCACACUGGAAGAAGCAGGCCCUCUUAUGAAGGAAAAAAACCACUCAUUUUUUAAACUGAGGUUUUUUUCCCAGUAAUUUGCAGCUGAAAAUAUCUGAUAAAAUAAUUAUAAUUGUACAAAAUAUAUCUUAUAUUUUAUCUCUUUAUUUAACCUUCACUCAUUAUCUCUUUAGACAGAAUCUACAAAUUCCACA
rnacentral:lncRNA from 10 species